rnacentral:rRNA from 1 species
UACAGAGGGGGCAAGCGUUGUUCGGAAUUACUGGGCGUAAAGGGCGCGUAGGCGGCCUGUUAAGUCGGACGUGAAAUCCCCGGGCUCAACCCGGGAACUGCGUCCGAUACUGGCAGGCUUGAAUCCGGGAGAGGGAUGUGGAAUUCCAGGUGUAGCGGUGAAAUGCGUAGAUAUCGGGAGGAACACCUGUGGCGAAAGCGGCGCACUGGACCACAACUGACGCUGAGGCGCGAAAGCUAGGGGAGCAAACAGG